rnacentral:lncRNA from 1 species
UAAAUCCUAGCACCCGUUUGGUUCGGGGUUAAUUCCACCCCUUAACUCUGAAGUUAUUUUCAAACACCCAAUUUGAGGGGCUAUUUCGGGAUAGCCCAUUUGGGGUGGGGUUAGCUAACCCCACCUCACCCCACUACUCCAACUAAACAAAAUACUAUUUUACCCACUAUCUUUAUUAUCCUACCUACUUCAAUCAAACACUAUUUUACUUAUAUCUGGAGUAAAUUCAAUUCUCAACCAAACACAAAAUUAUUCUAACCCCACCUUAACCCUAAACUUAACUCUAUCCAUGAAAUAACAAAUUUUUACUUAACCCCCAACCAAAUGGUGACUAAAAAAGAGAGGAGGGUAUAAGUACUCUCAUCAAAU